AGGCAGCAGUGGGGAAUUUUGGACAAUGGGGGCAACCCUGAUCCAGCCAUGCCGCGUGCGGGAAGAAGGCCUUCGGGUUGUAAACCGCUUUUGUCCGGGAAGAAAAGGCUCAGGCUAAUACUCUGGGUUCUUGACGGUACUGGAAGAAUAAGCACCGGCUAACUACGUGCCAGCAGCCGCGGUAAUACGUAGGGUGCGAGCGUUAAUCGGAAUUACUGGGCGUAAAGCGUGCGUAGGCGGUUCGUUAAGUCUGAUGUGAAAGCCCACGGCUCAACCGUGGAGGGUCAUUGGAAACUGGGGGACUUGAGUGCAGAAGAGGAGAGUGGAAUUCCACGUGUAGCGGUGAAAUGCGUAGAGAUGUGGAGGAACACCAGUGGCGAAGGCGACUCUCUGGUCUGUAACUGACGCUGAGGCGCGAAAGCGUGGGGAGCAAACAGGAUUAGAUACCCUGGUAGUCCACGCCGUAAACGAUGAGUGCUAAGUGUUAGAGGGUUUCCGCCCUUUAGUGCUGCAGCUAACGCAUUAAGCACUCCGCCUGGGGAGUACGGCCGCAAGGCUGAAACUUAAAGGAAUUGACGG
rnacentral:rRNA from 1 species